rnacentral:rRNA from 1 species
CCUACGGGAGGCAGCAGUAAGGAAUAUUGGUCAAUGGACGAAAGUCUGAACCAGCCAUGCCGCGUGAAGGAUGAAGGCCCUCUGGGUUGUAAACUUCUUUUAUCUGGGACGAAAAAGCUCAUUCUUGAGCACUUGACGGUACCAGAGGAAUAAGCACCGGCUAACUCCGUGCCAGCAGCCGCGGUAAUACGGAGGGUGCAAGCGUUAUCCGGAUUCACUGGGUUUAAAGGGUGCGUAGGUGGGUCUGUAAGUCAGUGGUGAAAUCUCCGAGCUUAACUCGGAAACUGCCAUUGAUACUAUAGGUCUUGAAUCAUCUGGAGGUAAGCGGAAUAUGUCAUGUAGCGGUGAAAUGCUUAGAUAUGACAUAGAACACCAAUUGCGAAGGCAGCUUACUACGGGUGUAUUGACACUGAGGCACGAAAGCGUGGGGAUCAAACAGGAUUAGAUACCCUGGUAGUCCACGCCCUAAACGAUGGAUACUCGACAUCAGCGAUACACUGUUGGUGUCUGAGAGAGANAUAUAUCCNCCNCGAGACGACGCGAGUAGAGACANAGAGUAGAGCGNGAGAGAGCGACGGACGACGACGAGGGAGGAGG